GAGGGUAUAGCUCAAGUGGUAGAGUGCGUGCUUAGCAUGCAUGAGGUCCUGGGUUCAAUGCCCAGUACCUCCU
rnacentral:tRNA from 1 species